rnacentral:rRNA from 1 species
AACGAACGCUGGCGGCAUGCCUAACACAUGCAAGUCGAACGAGACCUUCGGGUCUAGUGGCGCACGGGUGCGUAACGCGUGGGAACCUGCCCUUAGGUUCGGAAUAACUCCCCGAAAGGGGUGCUAAUACCGCAUAAUGUCUUCGGACCAAAGAUUUAUCGCCUUUGGCUGGGCCCGCGGUGGCUUAGCCAGUUGGUAGGGUAAAAGCCUACCAAGGCGACGAUCCAUAGCUGGUCUGAGAGGCUGACCAGUCACACUGGGACUGAGACACGGCCCAGACUCCUGCGGGAGGCAGCAGUGGGGAAUAUUGCACAGUGGGCGCAAGCCUGAUCCCGCAAUGCCGCGUGAGAGAUGAAGGCCUUAGGGUUGUAAAGCUCUUUUACCCGGGAUGAUAAUGACAGUACCGGGAGAAUAAGCUCCGGCUAACUCCGUG